AAGGUUUUAAGUUAAAAAAACUAGUAACCUUCAAAGUUUCUUAUAAGAGAAUAAACCUCUUAAACCUUA
rnacentral:tRNA from 1 species